UCGUCAAAAGUCAAACUCAAAGAACUCCGUCAGGGAGAAUAGGUCUAGCACUAAAAACUUAAAAGAAUUUUAAUUAAAAUAUUGAAACAAUAAUACAAUGGCAGAAUCUGUUACAGAACUUCCUAUAACUAUCGAGGAGAGUAUUAAAGAAACUGUACAAAAUGUUACAGGCAAGCCACCCUCGAGUAUCGAGGGGGUCGCAAUCGCGUACUUAAGUUUAGUGGUAAUGGCUAUUUUGCCUAUAUUUUUUGGGUCCUUCCGUUCUGUAAAAUACUUAAAAGAGCAAAAGGAAUCAGGUGAAAAGCAUGAGACAAUGACAAAUAAAGAUGCACUGAUGUUUCCCCUGUUUGCGUCAUGUGCUCUGUUUGCCUUCUACAUCUUCUUCCAGUUCUUCUCCAAGGAGUACAUCAAUCUACUUCUCACUGGUUACUUCUUCUUCCUUGGUGUGUUGGCAUUGAGCCAUCUACUUAGCCCCAUCAUAGCUCUGAUAGUGCCGGCGUCCGUGCCCAACCUGCCGUACCACAUCCUGUUCACGCGCGGCGAGCGGGACGCGCGCUCCGACAUCGUCAACUACAAGUUCACCUCCUAUGACGUCAUCUGCCUCGUCAUAUCGCUCAUAUUCGGCGCCUGGUACCUGCUCAAGAAGCAUUGGAUAGCGAACAACCUGUUUGGCAUAGCGUUUGCCAUCAAUGGCGUGGAACUGCUGCACCUCAACAACGUGGUGACGGGCUGCAUCCUGCUGUGCGGUCUCUUCCUCUACGACAUCUUCUGGGUGUUCGGCACCAACGUCAUGGUCACCGUCGCCAAGUCCUUCGAGGUGCCCAUUAAAUUGGUGUUCCCCCAGGACCUGCUCAUCAACGGUCUCAACGCCAGCAACUUCGCGAUGCUCGGCUUGGGCGACAUCGUCGUGCCUGGCUUGUUCAUCGCGCUGCUGCUUCGCUUCGACAAGAGUCUCAAACGCGGCUCGGAGUUCUACUUCCGCGCCACCUUCGCGGCGUACAUCCUGGGGCUGCUGGCCACCAUCCUGGUGAUGCACGUGUUCAAGCACGCGCAGCCCGCGCUGCUGUACCUCGUGCCCGCCUGCCUCGCCACGCCGCUCACGCUCGCGCUGCUCAAGGGCGACAUCAACGCGCUGUUCAAGUGAGUGCACACUCUUGACGACUUCUGGACUCCUAGUACAUAUUGUCUCGCAGUUCCACUUCCGCGCCACCUUCGCGGCGUACAUCCUGGGGCUGCUGGCCACCAUCCUGGUGAUGCACGUGUUCAAGCACGCGCAGCCCGCGCUGCUGUACCUCGUGCCCGCCUGCCUCGCCACGCCGCUCACGCUCGCGCUGCUCAAGGGCGACAUCAACGCGCUGUUCAACUAUGAAGAUCAGCCAGCAAUAUUGGAAUCGCCCACUGAAGCGAGCAAAACGAAGAAGUCGGAGUAAAGCUCGCACUACACUCAUCUCAAGCACAAAUCAACACGACGUUGUGAAUUAGGUACAUUAAGCUUAGCGCACACUACACCGGGCCGCACGUAAAUGCGUCUUAGCUGAUUGCAUUAAAAUUUUUACAAUUUUUUUUUUAUACUAUGGGAGUUUCAUGGAUCUCUUACGUCUAACGCUAUCUAGUUUGAGUUGCUGCUCAUCUCUCUCUUUACUCUAAAUCCUAUGAAAAUACCAGCAAGUCAAGUCAACAGUCAAUGUUAAGUGGCUACAGACAAACACUUCUGCAUGUUAAUAUAAUAUGUAUAAUAUUGAUAUAAUUGUUUGUUUACUAUCUUUGUUUGUUGUACUAUCGUCUACUAUUGCUUGUCCUCCUUAUCGGCUCAGUCGUUGACUAUUGUUUCCCUGAAAAAUUAAUCAUACCUUAUUACAGACGUAUGUCUGUUUGCGGUGCGCUCGGCUCUAGUGUGCGUGAGCCUUUACAAAUAUUUUUCUAUCUUACCAAUGGCGAGGGACCAUUACCACUGGGAAAAUAAUUCAUGUUAGAUCUCUCUAUGUAGGCCAAGAGCUGAUGAACGAUUUGUUCAAAGUCUUUAAUACAAAUACAUUUUAGGUAAAUCUCUGAAUACUAUUAACUAGAUAGGUAGGGUAAACAAUAAAAUAAUAAUGAAAAGUUAGUUAAAUUAAUUCCAUUCAAGUUUUAAUCUUAUGUGUUUCAACUUUAUUUAUUCAUACAUUAAUAUUAAUUAUGUGAAUCCAAAACAGUAGUUAGAUAAACAACUUAACGUGAAUUGUAUAAAAAUAAACACUCUUAUUAAUAAUAAUAAUAAUGGCUAAUUUUGACUUCAUUACAUUUAAGUUGUAUAAUGUAUGGGAGAAAUAUUUUCUUCAAUAAAUUGAAGGACUUUGAACAAAUCCUUCUUGUUCUGCUUCAAUAGAGAUAAUAUGAUUAGUAUAGACACUUCCAUUUAGAAUCUUCCAUUGUUUUACGUAUUCGGACUUGCAUAACUGUUUAUUUGUGAUAUAAAGUUCAUAAUAUUAAAGAUUAUUGUGUAAAAUUGUGUCUUGCUAGGGAUUGAGAUUUUGUAUAACUAUUCCUGGGUCCAUAUAGAAUAUAUUUGGUACCUUGAUGGGCCAAAUCUUCAAAAUAAAUUAAUUUUCAAUGAUUUUAAUUAUCAUGCUGACUAUGGAUCCCUUAUAAGAGUGAGUUACUAUUACUAUUUUAAAUCCUACAUAAGUAUUUUCUUUAUUUAUUAUGUCUAUAAAUAUAUAAAUAAAAUAUUGUAUAAUAUAUUUUUGUUUGAAUGUGAACAUUAGAAAAUUAAGUUUAUUUUUUACCUAAAAAUUAUUUUUGUGUCGAUAUUUAAUUAUUUUUGUUACCAAUCAAUAUUGUCUUUGUUAAUAGAACGUCUUUACUUUGACCUACAAUUUAAGUUACAUUUAGUUUUUUAUUAUGCACCUUAACAGCAAUGAAUAAAUACAUGAAAAUUUACUUUAAAUUUUAUUAUCGAGUUUUAGGUUGCAAAAUAUUUUACUGAAACUGUGGACAUUGUGGAUAUUUUGUGUAUGUAAUUUUUUUUUUUUCAUUUAACUUAAUGUGGAUGGAUAACUUAAUAUAUAAUUGUUUUUGUAAUACAUUCCGAUAUUACUAAUCGAUUAUUCAUAUUACGAAUUAAUUAAUUUUAUAAUAAAUCCCGUUAUUGUUUACGUUAACUCUAAAAGGUAGCAGUCAGAAAGUUGCUAGUUUACAUACAAUAUUAAUAAAUGGUCACAAUAAUACUUGUUGUAUACAUGUACAAAUAUAGUCGUCAACUCUUAGACUAAGUCGUGAAAAGUAAUAGUAAUUUUAUUACCAAUAGGUACACAUUUGGAAAGCGAAAGGAAUCAGACAGUGACGGAAAUGAUAAUGAUGACCAAGUUCUUAUGACAGCAAAAAACAAACAUUAUAUUAUAGAGAUUAAUUUCCAUGAUUUUGUCAGCACUAUUUGUAGUGAUUAUGGAAUAUAUAUUUUCGGAAUAUAACUAGCUGACGCUGGUUCCCGUCCCCGUAGGAAUACGGUGAUAAUAUAUAGCCUAUAGCCUUCCUCGAUAAAUGGGCUAUCUAACACAGAAUUUUUCAAAUCGGAUCAGUAGUUCCUGAUAUUAACGCGUUCAAUCAAACAAACAAACUCUUCAGCUUUAUAAUAUUAGUAUAGAAUUUCGGAAUAUAUUGUUUGAUUAAAUUUAACUUGCACGUAAUCUGAAGUUCUGCGCAGUAACACAUUUUCUGUUAUUAGCGACGGACGGCAAGAGGUGUCAAUCAUGGAGUCAAAACUUUUGUUUAUAAUUGUACCUGCGCAGACAACUGGCUGGAGGCUUCGGCCGUGGCUAGUUACCACCCUACCGACAGACGUACCGCCAAGCGAUUUAGCGUUCCGGUACGAUGUCGUGUAGAAACCGAAAGGAGUGUGGAUUUCAUCCUACUCCUAACAAGUUAGCCCGCUUCCAUCUUAGAUUGCAUCAUCACUUACCAUCAGGUGAGAUUGUAGUCAAGGGCUAACUUGUAGAGAAUAAAAAAAACUAUUAUUUUAGUUUAACUUUACUACCUAAGCAUUUAUUUUAUAAUUUUUGCGAGAAAUUAACAAUAUUUCAUCAUAUUUCAUUGAGGCUGAUGUUGCCAGACGGAAAAAUUAAUAUGUAUGGGAAAAACAAUUAUGUAAACUUAAAUCGAAUUUAAAAUACGUCCUCUAUAUGGAUGUUGUACAUUGUACAGGCAGAAAUGGUAUAAUUUAUUUUGAAUAAAUAUGUCGAAAUGA